rnacentral:tRNA from 1 species
GCCAGAUUGCCCAGUGGGUGAAGGUGUUUGCCUCCAAACCCAAUGUCCUGAGUUCAAUUCCCAGGACUUUCA